UUUUUUUUUUUUUGGGUUAUUAAUGAUUAUUGUUGUUUGUUUUAUGUGGCGUGGUCCAUGUGCUAGCUUAAGUUGUGAGGAAAUUACAUUUAUAAUAUAUUUUUCCACCAUAUAAAUAAACUAUAAAUUUUGAUAUCUAAUCAUUAAAAAUUGACACUAUAGUACUAAGAGGGAAAUAUGACUUCAACUAAUUAUCUCAAAAUUGAGACUUUUCUCUCUUCUAUACCAAGUCUAUCAAGUUAUUCUUUACAAAUCGAAAAAUAAUAAUUGGUUGAUACGUCGAAUAUGAAUAAUAUAUGAAGAAAUGAAUUUUAAGUUUAAUUCAAAAAAUUAAUUCACAAAAUGAAAUUAUCCAAAAUCAUAAAAAAGAAACAAAAGUCUCUUUAAAGUCGUAAUGAUAUAACUUAACAUCCUCCACACCCCGCCUCCCCCCCUCCUCUUGCAUGCCUAGAACAACCGACUAAAGGUUGACAAUAUAAUAUGAAUUUCAAAUAUCAUAUAAACAAAGAAUUAGAAUAUGACUGACUCAAAUAUCAUGAAGCACCCAUAAUCAUAAAAAAAAAACUUGUAUAUUAAUUCUCUAUCAAUAUAAUAUACGUUAAUGUCGUCACACGUCCAAACCUCUAGUGUGAAUAACAUAUAUCAUGAGAGCUCAAUAUUGAAAAACUCAAUAAUGGAAGGAUCUCUCUUUGAUAUUGUGUGAAAAUAUGGACUUGAUGUUAACUCAAAUUAAAGUUAGCUCAUGAAGCAAGAAUUAUCUAAUGUCAUAUAAAUAUGAAAAUUAACAAUUAUGAUUCCUCAUUUAUUUAUAAAUUCAAAUGUUGAUCCUUUAGAUAUAUGACUGACACAUUUAUCCUUCAAAUAAUUAAAAUAUAACAGUAGAAAGUAAAAUCAAAUAUUCAGUAAUUCUUCCCACUUAAUCACAUCAUCAUUGUAUCUUCCAAAUUAAGUUACUAGUUUUUAAUAAAAUUGAUUAUUUAUGAUGAUGAAUUAAUUAAUUUUGAUUACCAAUCCAUAGAAUAAUCAUAAAGAAACAUACCAGAAUGUCUGCAUUAUUAACGAAGAACAAAUAAUUGUUUACUGAUAACUAAAUUUUCCUUUUCAACAACUUUUUAAUAAUUUGUAAGUUCUUGUAAAUGCAAAGCUAGAUAAUUAGCACUUUAUAAUUACCUUGGUAAAUAUUAAAAGGACUAACAAAUAAUUUUUUUUUGUCACUUUUCUUAUGAAAAAAAAAACAUAUCAAUAAUUAAUUUGGAGCUAUAAAAGUUUUAAAUAAAAUUUGAUAAUUUAAGUUUCUUGAAGGUUCUCAAUUGGGCUAUGUUACUAUGGGCCGGACAGGAAAUUGGCCCGAACCCGACGGUUUAACAUAUCUCGCAGAAAAUCUCAAGUUGGCUACAUCACGACUACGCUUACUAUUUUUCUGGUUUGGAAACUCAAGAAGGAAUUAAGACAAUAACAAUAAAUAUUUAUCUUCUGAUUUUACUGCCAAAAUCAUUCAAAAAGCCCAUGUUUUAUGUUAUUAAUGUACAAUGAACCCAUAGCAAAAGAACAACAAAUUGCCAAUUUGUUCUUUUGUCCAAAAAAAGACUAGGCUUGUUGUCCACAAUUUGUAUGAUCAAGACAUAUCAUAUGUAAUGUGACUUUCAAUUAAUAAAGUGGGAUUUUUGUCCCCUUUCUUGAUAGGCCUAUUUGUCAAUAUAUUCACCCUCAUGGUAUCCGUGACAUUCAUGACGAAGGGUGGGCCAAUAAGGAAUAAGUUAAAAAGAAGGAUUGAUCGACUUUUAAGUUGAAAAGCUUUUGAAGAAGGGGUUCACAAUGCAUGCACGUUUUUGAACUUAAUAAUGACGUAAGUCGAGGGAUAUUUCAUGAGGUUUUUUAACUAGAAAGGGCAAUAUGUGUUAUGGACUUGAAUCGUGACAAUAUCAUUUCAGUUUGUGCCAUAUGCUAAAAAUAUGAUUCAAAUCUCUAAUAAAAUUAUGUAAUUUUAGAGUUUUUUUUUAGGUAUGAAACUUUAGGUUAAAAGGCACAUAAGAAAACAUUUGGUCCAAAACCAUGAUUGUUAAUGGCUCAAAACUUACCUAUUAACCAUUUUAAUGAUUGCAUAUAACUUGAAAUUUAAAAUUGUACUUUCCCUAAAAAUGAAAAAUAUGCUUUUCCUUUUUGGUCAAAAGGGGAAAAUGUCAUCACUCAAAGGAAAGUAAAAAUUUUCCUUUUGCUUUUAAACUUGAAAGAGUAAAUGAGGAAUUUGACCAAUAUAUAUAUAUAUAAAAGGAUAGUCGAAUCGGUGCAUCCGAUUGUAUCCCAUAAAGAAAAUUAGAAAUCAGUCAAGUUUAUCAUGUUGAACUUACCUAGUACAAUUUACAUAUGUGAUUUGCGAGCUAUUAUACAUAACUAAGGUGCACCAAAAAAUAGCAUUUGUAGUUUCUUUUGGGUGUCCUAUUUUAUUCAAUUACUUUACAAGAUUGUUAAGGAUGUGUGAACUACUAUAACAAUAAUAUUAUAUAAGAAGUAUUUGAAAAGGGUUGUGUAUACGUAAUAUUACUUUUAAUUUUAAAAGGUAGAUAGUGUAUUUCUGAUAGACCCUCAACUAAAGUAAAUAAUUUGAGAUAUACAAUAAUAAUAACAAUAGCAUAUCAGUCCAAUCCCAUAAGUAGAGUCUUAAAAGAGUAACGUGUACACAACUUUACCCAUAUUUUAAAAAGAUAAAUAGAUUAUUUUUAAUGUUAGAAAAAUGAUUAGUCAACUAAUAAAUGAUGUUAAUAUUCAGUGAGUUCAACAAACAUUGAAUUGAUUUUGUCCAAAUUUAGAAUUGGUCAAAUGUCAUAAUGUUUUAAGUAACAAAAUGAUCUUUAAUCCAAAAAGGGAAAAUGAGUUGAUAAGAAUUUCCCUAUAAGAAAAAAAGAAAGAUCUUUAAACCAAAAGAGGAAAAUAAUUUUAAUUUUCAACCCACUAUAAAUAUGUAUGAAAAAAAAGUUUCAGAAAAGAACUCAAAAUUAUUUGAGAAAAAAAUGAUGUCCAUCACUAAGCAUUUGAUUUUCUUCACUUUACUUAUUUUUGUCAUCUUUCCUGCUCAUGAAUGUAAGUAUGAUUAAAAAAAGUUAAUUCUUCAUUAUGCCUUUGAAAUUAGAAUUAGCUAUGAAUUUCGUUAUUAAAUUGCUAGCUAGUUGCAGACAUAAUUAUGUUAUGAUAAUAUGUCGCUAAAUAGGAUUAGCAACAAACUUUACCGUUUAGCCACAAAAAUUUUCUCAUGCUAAUUCCUGUCUUUCUAGUAGGGUUGCCUAAUAUAUAGCAAGAUAAAAUUAGUGUUUCAUUUUAUUUUUUCACUCGAUAUUUGAUAUUAGUAUUGUAGCUCUCAUCAGGCCCAUUAAAAGGAACAAAUAACAAUACUCCUUACUAGACUUAUUUCAUAUUUAUAUAUACAAAGUUAAAUCUUUUGGCUUAUUGAUUUCUUUACUUCUUUAUAUUUUGAGUUUUUUAAAUGAAAAUUUCAAUUCCACCACCAAUAACCUAAUUAAAGCUCGAACCCAUUUCCGAUUGAGAUUAGUAGAGGAAUUUUGUUUGUCUCACCAUAAUCCUCGAUAGUAAAUAAAAUGAAAUUAACUCUAAUUUAAUUAUGUUGGCUUGUUUUUUUAUUUGUCUCUCAUCUUAAUAAUCAUUUUUUUUGUUUUAAUUAAUUUUAUCUUAUAUUUUAAUGUAGGUGAAGAAGUAUUUGAUAAAUUGAGUAUCAAAUAUGGGAGAAAAGAUGGGAGACUUAUUAAUCUUGGCAAGUGUUUCCAAUUCACAAUUAACCAAUGGUGUUGUGAUUCAACUACACCAGUAAAGUGUUAUGAUUCAAUGGAUCAUUGCAAACAAAAUUGUCCCCCAUGGCCUACUACUCAUAAUUAGGAUUAAUUAAUUAACAAAUCCUCUUCAAGAGUUUUGUUAAACAUCUUAUGAAGCUUCAUAUAUGAAAUAAAUAAGUUCUUGAGUUAUUGCAUAAUUUCAUUUUUGGUUCUUGUGCUAUUCGAUUAAGUAUAUUUAGCUUUUAAUUAAUCAAUUGUUUUGUAUUGAUCCCUAAACUAAUCGUACUAACGAAAUUAAAUAAAACUUGAUAGAAUUUUUAAGUGAAAAAUUGAAAAACUUUGUCAUACCAUUUAGGCAUAAAAUUGUCCAUAUGGAAGCAUACGAGAGCUAACGUUAGCGGAAGAUUCUAGAGUUAUGAAGAGAUUUUGAGAAGACUCUAGAAUAUCCAAGAGAGUUCUUGGAAGGCCUAGAAGACUCUAGGCCUCUAUAGAAUUUUAGAAGUAGGGGGCGUAUUUGUAAAUAUGUAUGGACUUGUGUUACAAUUUUUAUUUACAUCUUAACCCCUAGGUGUGUACUAUAAAUAGAGGAGCAUUUAUUUGUAACUCAACCAAAAAGAAGCAAACAAAUUUUCAAGCAAUACAAAAACCUUCUUACAAAUUUUCUUGUGUCUUUCUUCAUUCUCUUAGCGGUCUAAUUCGAAGAAACUUAUUAGAGCUUACAAAAUUGUGAAAGAAUCGUGAGAAUCAUGGUAAAGUGAUAUCCCGUUAAAAUCUCUUCGAAGCUUUCCCCCUAAAUAAACAAAUAAUAUGAAGUUGCACACCAUUGUGUUGUCAUUUUGCCAAAAGAAACAUACACAACCUUUUUAAUGACAUAUACAUAUACCUCUUGUAUAAAAAUGAUCUCGGAAAUUCAUUAUCUCGUCUAAUAAGAUAUUUUGUGAUUUAAGAUCAACCACACAACCGCACAUGCAUGUGUACGUCAAAUGUAACACAUAUGUUGUUGAUUUUUUUGAUCUAACUCAAAUUUAAAUGUGGAGCAAAGAAAAUACAACAGGUAAGCAAACAAACAUUCAUAAAGUCUAGACAACAUAAAUCAUGUAAGAAAUACCUUUCAUUCUGUGUACAAACUUCCUCAUGAUAUCCAUUUCAUAACAAAGAAACACGUUUUUGUAUUGAUGAGUUCUGCAGUACUUUUAUGAUGUUCUCAUAUGAUGUGUUUACCAAAACAUUCACGUUGCUCUGCACAAAGAAAUUUUCACUUUGAUAUUACUGUAGCCACUUAAAGAUACAAAAGAAAUUAUUGUAUUACCAUGUUUCUGUCCGUUGACAACCCUUUGGAAACUUUAAAUGUGCAACCAUUGAUGUUCAAGCCCAAACACUUUGUACACAUCUCAUUGAGAUCCCGAAACUUGGACUCCUUUUGUUUCUUCUGUGAAAGUUAUAAUUAACAAUCCCGGAUUUUGAACGAGUGUGACAGUAAAAUUUAGGGCUAAUCAAAAUUUAGAGUUAUUAGUACGAGUAUAAUAUUCUAUGUAGCUAACAGAUAGAGUAUAAAAAUAAAAUGGGUAUUACAAUAAAGUUAAAGAACUCAAUCAAAAUGUUAAGUUUAUCUUCACAUUACAAUGGGUAUUACCUUUGAAAAAGCUGAUAGUAUGGCGAUUCUUUAAGAAAAAAUUCACAAACACGCUUAAUGUGGAGGAAUGUUGAAAAAAAGAAGAAGAGUAAAUCGCUCAUUAGGCAGCGAGAAAAAAGAAGAGAAAAUCGCGGAUCGUGUAGUGAGAUGAUAAUUUUUAUUUAAAAAAAAAAACGUCGUUUAACAAUAGUUAAAUCACAAUGAAAUAUCCCUUUUGGUUAAACCAAAAUUUAAAUGGCCCUUUAUACAUUUUAAAGGAAAAAAAUGGCCCUUUUAUGUCCAAACUCCACAAUAAAGGGUCUAAACUUGAGUCACAACACCAUUUGUUUAUUGUGUACUGGAAACACUUGCCAAGAUCAAUAAGUCUACCAUCUUUGAUACUCAAUUUAAAAUAUAAGAAAAGUGAUUAUUAAGAUGAGAGACAGAAAAUAAACAAACCAAUUAAAUCGGAGUUAAUUUCGUUUUAAUUACUAUAAAAAAUUAUGGUGAGAUAGUUCAGUCGUGUUAUUAAAGACACCUCGUUGCGUGAUUUUGGAAAUCAUGGAGUUACUCUUUGAUACUAUACUUCCCCGUCCAACAAGAGUUGCCCACUAUACUAAAAAUAGUUGUCCAACAAUAUUUGUCCAAUUUAGAAAAUUAAAACAUAAUUUACCUUUUAUGUCUAUUUUACCCUUACUAUUAAAUAUUAUUUAUCAUCCAAUACAUUUUUCAAAGCAUUAAAUUUAAUAAAGUCAAAGGAUAAUAUAACAAUAUUACUCUAUUAUUUAUUGAUUCUUAAGGGGUGUGCUAAGUCGAUAGGACAACUAUUGUUAGACAGAGGGAGUAUUUAAUUUGGGGAUGACACAAUGAAAAUUUCAAAAUUUAAAACUUGACUUGGCUAAUGUCAUCUAGCACCUCCUUUCCAUCUAUUCUAACCUUUCUAGACAGAUUUAUCAAAUACUUAUUAUUGGCGGGGUGGCAAACAGUGGCAGACCCAGAAUUUUCGUUCAGGGGGUUCGAAAAAUAAAAGUAUAAACGUGUAAAUAAGCCAACAAAAAAAAAUUUCAAGGAAGUAGUAGUAUAUAGUUUAUAGGUACAAAAAGUUAGUUUCAUUACAAGAAAUCCGAAACUAACAUAAGUGAUUACAGUGAAACAAAAAGUUAGCCCUUUAAAAUAUGUCAAAUCAACAAUAGAAUAUUAUGGGAGAUGAUUUUAAUAUUUGAGUUUUGAGUGUUGGGGAAGAACAAGAAAGUGAUUCAGAGAUUUGGAAAGUGAAAAAGUUAUUAGCGAAUGGGAGUAUGGGACCUUUGAAUUUUUUGGGUUUAACACCACAUUUUAGCACUUUUAUUUUUUUAAAAAAACUAAAACAAACAUGAAAAUCUGAACUGGAACUAAAAAGAAAAAAAAAACUGAAAGUAAAAAACUAAAAAAAAAAACGCUAACCUGGGGAUUCGAUCCCUGGACGUCAGGUUUAAUAUUGAAGGGAGCAGCCGCUGGGCUAUCUCCUUCAUUGAGGGGGUUCAAAAUAUAUAUAUCCACAUAAAUCCAGAAAAUUCACCUUAUAUAUACAGUGUAAUUUUUUAUCGAGGGGGUUCGGGUUCACCCCCUAGACAUCACGUGGGUCUGCCCCUGGUGGCAAAUAUCCCGUGAAAUAAGCCGAGAUGUGUGCAAGCUAGCCCGAGAACCACAAUUUGUAUUAAAAAAAAAGAGAGAGAUAAAAGUAGAGGAUAUCUUCAAUAGUUAGCUUUACUGAUUUAGAACAUCUUCAUAGGGUGGUAUAUUCAGUCAAAUACAUUCUUCUCUACAAGUACCUUAGAGUUCAGUUCAUACAAGUGAAAGCAGCUAAGAGGCUAGUGCUUAUUCUAUUCUGCCUCAUUUUCAUCUCUUUUUCGUUUCUUCAUCCUCGCUUGCAUCAAUUUCAAAGCAUAUACAACGUCCUUCAUAGUUGGCCUCUUGUCUGGAUGAUCGAGAUUCAAGCAGAGGAAUGCCAGAAGUGUGAUCUCAAAUGCAUUUGAAUAAUCAACUUCUUCGAAGCACUCAUGAACCAAAUAUCUUUCACCACGUUUAGCCUCAUCUAUAACAAUCCAAUCCAGCUGAUAAGGACCUCGACAGAUAAACUCAUUCUUGGCUAUCAGCUUUAGCAGUAGAACGCCAAAUAUAUAAACAUCAGAUUUCAUUGAUCGUUUACCUGUAUCCAUCCAGAAAAUAUAAGUACAGAACUGCAUUUAGUAGAGAAAUUACAACAAUAACAGCAUACCCAAUGUAAUCCCACGAGUGGGGUAUAAGGGAGGAUAGAGUGUAAGCAGACAUUACGCCUACUCCGAGGAGGUAGAGAGGUUGUUUAUGAUAAACCUUCGGCUCAAGUAAAUCAGUUCAAUAUGUAAAAAAUACUAUGCCAUAUAUAACAACAAAUAUGAUGAAAAUUCUCCACAAAGGGAAAGCUCAAGGAGCCAUAAUUCUUAAUUUGGACGUAUCCACACUAGCUCUUUCCUGUCUCAGCCAAAUACAUAAAAAUAUGAGGGUCAUUGCACCUCACUAGCUCUUAAGUUAUCUCGUUGUAUCUAAACCAGUGAGACAUCAAAGUUCGACGUAUACAUUCUUAUUCCCCACCUCCAGGUGAAGGUCAAGAAAAAUCAUCAAAUGAAUGAGAUGUCCAAAGGAGGGCUCAAUUAAUAGAAAUCACAGAAGAAAGUAGUAUCUUUUGGCAUCAGAAAUCAAUAAUGCACAAAAGCAGGUACAAGAAAAUAGCAAAGAAUGGAAGAUGGCCUCUCUUUUUCCCUCUUGGAAACAUGUUCACAGUUUCUUUUCUUUUUUCCCAACGACCUCCCUAUCAGACCCUCCAAGUCCAUUUUCAGUCCUAACAAACAUAUCGUAAUAUUCUUCUUUAGUAACUUACUUUUCCGAUAGUGGGUUUCUGUUUCUUCACAUGUGCAGCAUCUCUUUAAAUCCUCUACUAUUUGAUUGAUAUCCCCUGUGCUUCUUCAGCUUCUCCAACGAGAGGCAACUGUUUGACUUGGAGAGUAACUUAUGCCUAGGAUACAGUGACUGGACACGUAAGACAAGCUAUCAGUCGGAUACUGAAGACACAAGUUCAGAAAAUUCUCAGUGAUACAGAUUGGUCAAAAGAAGGAAGAGCUUUAUCACUCGGAUAAGUGGCAGCACAAACAUUUUGGCUUCAGAUAUGAUUUCGGCUUUGAUUAUUCCCACGGGCUAUUGAGGCUUAAGGAAAUCAAUCAAUCCCUAAUUACAAUAGAAGCAAAUUACGCUACCUACUAUACAUACAUAUAUUCUAGAAUAUUCACAAUGAUUCUAAUACUCCCCUCAAGCUGGUGCAUAAAAAUUCUAUGUACCAAGCUUGCUACAUAUAUAACUUGUACUCCGGCUAGGGACUUUUCAUGGCUAGUCAUUUGACUAUUUGGGUUUAUCUCAAUCAUAUAGGUCUUCUAUCAUAGUUUCAUAACUAACCAUGGUCUCUAUCUGGCAUAUAUUCCAAUUAGAGAAUAACAAAGAGAAGAACGCAAAGAAAUGGAAAAAAGUUGUGAGUUUUAAUUGAUGAAACCUAGACCUCAAACAAACAUUGUUGCAUCAUGUAAUACAGAGAAAACUAUACGAAAAAACUUAAAUCUAGAGCAUGAAAUUAUCAGAGGUCAGAGCAAACAUGCCUUCCCAAAUCUCUGGAGCAUCCGAGCCAACACGAACUUUUACAGGAAUAUUAGUAUCUUCGUUCACAUGAUUUGAUACGUACCCAAAGUCAAAUACUUUUAUGUUUACUUCCUGCAAAUCAAACCAAUGUGAUAAUAACACAUGAAAAUCUUGAGAUAUCUAAAGGAUAUAAAAGUCAAGACGACAACCAACUGUUCAUCAAACUCACCUCAUCUAUCAUAAUGCAUGAAGCAGUAACACAACCAACUGCAGUCCCCUUAUCAUGCAACCAUGAGAAGAGAUCUGCAAGUUGGGUUGCCACUUUCAUCCGAUCAUUCCACCCAAAGUCAUCUGAGACGAGAAAAAGAAAAUAUAAAGAAUGUGCUAAAAAGCACACAAAAGUCGGAGAGAAGCACACAAUAGUACCCGAUAGAAGCACAUCCGACAACAGUACACUGGUGAAUUUUGCAUCGUAGACAACUGCAAGCCUUGUAUCAAAACAAUACCUAUACAACUUCACCAAAUUUGGAUGUGUAUUUGCUCUUUCAUCUGUUAAUAACUCAAUCUCAUCCUACACAAAAGAACCUCUGACAUCAUUUAACCAACAAAAAAAUCAGACAAGAAAUAAAAUUCAGACCUAUCUCACAAACAUACACAAAAUUUAUCUAGACGUGGAGCAUUCCCAGGUUUCAUAGGAAGGAGAUAAUCCCAUGUCUUUACAAUAGCCGGUCUUGUUACAGAUCCUUCAACAAUAAUGCCAUGGAACAGUCUUCCUGUAAAAGUUUUUUGAAUUUCUGCAGGAUUCUUGAAAUUAGUCAUCUUGUCCAACUCGGAGUAGCUGCAAUGCUUCGCCUCACCAACCAUUGUAGGCUCAAUGGAGAAGUCGAAGCUGCAUUUGGCAACCAGAGAAGAUCAGUGAAACAAGAAAUAAUAAUACCGCGGAUGUCUAGCUUGUGAAAUGGGACAUCUCAAGGUCAGGGAGAAAUUUGGAGCAGGUACCAUUUAAUCCCAAUCAAAAGGUACCAAGGUCAUCAGUGCUUGAACCAAUUGUGGUUUAGUGAGAAAGGUGCAAACAAAAAACGAAAACAUAUGAUGCAAGAAAAAUAACUAUAAUUGUAUGAGAUAGGAAUUAAUAGAACUGCAUCUAAUUGAAAGAAGAGAGAAAUUGACAUAAACAACAACAUACCCAGAGAAGUCCCACAAGUGGGGUCUGGGUAGAGUAGAGUGUACACAGACCUCAACACUAGCUCACGAGACUUUCCGAAAGACAUGGGCUCAAGUGCAAGGAACAAUAACAACAACAAAAUAGUGUGAUAAUCAAACACAACAAACAAUUUGUCCAAUACGAGACCUUCCUAUCUAAAGUCAGUCAGUCAUGUGUUAGUAUAUAAUCACACCUCUCCCCCAUCUAAAGUCAUGAAUGUUAGUAUAUAAUCACACCUCUCCCCGAUACUAGACAAAAGCAAUAACACCAGAACCCUAUAUUCCAUACCAAUACUUGAAACUCAAUCAAAUAUUCAUCAAUAAAACCUAAAAAGAGAUGAAAAUCAUUCAAACCCUUGGUAACGCUUGCAUUCUUCAUAAAAACCAUCAUCAUCGUCCAUUAAAACUUCACGGCUGGAACUCAUGGACAAAGGGUAAGGCAAACGGGAAAUAUCUCUAAAUCCCUCGUGUAAGUUGUACAUUUGGUACUGAUACGGCCAACACCCCCAUUCUGAAAACUUCUUUCGGAUUGCCUCAAUUGACACACUCUUCUUCUCCUCGUUUCUCAUCCCAACGUCUGUCGCCAUAACCGCCGUCGGCCCGUCGUCGUUGGGUNNNNNNNNNNNNNNNNNNNNNNNNNNNNNNNNNNNNNNNNNNNNNNNNNNNNNNNNNNNNNNNNNNNNNNNNNNNNNNNNNNNNNNNNNNNNNNNNNNNNNNNNNNNNNNNNNNNNNNNNNNNNNNNNNNNNNNNNNNNNNNNNNNNNNNNNNNNNNNNNNNNNNNNNNNNNNNNNNNNNNNNNNNNNNNNNNNNNNNNNNNNNNNNNNAACCGCCGUCGUCUCGUCGUCGUUGAGUAAUUCAUACCUUUAUUAAUAUAGGAACAUACAUUACAUGCAAAUAAAACGUGUUGAAAUUGGAGAUUAAAUUGACUUUAAUUGAGGAUUCUUUUAAAUGGGUUAGAACUUGAAUGAGGUUGAAAUUAAACUCAAUUCAAAUUAUCUUGAGUCUAACUCAUAAAAUUAUGGACAAAUUGGACAAAUUACCUACAAUUGGGCUCAAUUUUGACACCUCUAGAAGGAAGUAUUACAAUUAUACUCCCUCCAUCCCAAUUUAUAUUAGUUUGUUUGAUUUUGUAAAGAAAGAAAUAUAAAUUGACACAUGUAUUCGAAGAGUCCGGUAUUCUAUAGGAAAAAGGGGCACAAUACAAUUAUAAUUUCAUAAUUCAAUCCAAACUAAUUAAGCAAAUACCUAUUCUUCCAAAAUAAAGUACACUUCAUGCCCUCUUUAUCAAUAUAUAUAUAUAUAUAUAUAUUACCUUAAAAACAUGAAUUUCUAACUUGAAUGUUAAAUUACUAUAAUAUCCCUAACUUAUGUUAUGAUUUUUACGAUGAGUUGUGAUAUUUUUGAAAAGUUGUGACUUUUUUCAAAGGAUUGUAAUUUUUUAAUGAGUUGUGACUUUUUCAAAGUGUUGUGACAUUGUCAAUAAGUUGUGACUUCUCGAAAAGGUCAAGACUUUUUAGAUAAGACACAAAAAACGCUUGUUCAUACUACCCUUUGUUGACUAUAAAUAGAGGGGGUUCCUCUCAUUUUUCAGCCACAAUUUUUUUAAAUCUUCUACUCUUCUUCUUCUUGCACUUUAAAAAAUUUCGUGUUAUUUAUUGUCGUUGCGUGAGUUCGAAGUUUAGCGGAAUAUGAGGUACCACUAUUCUGAUGAAGUAAAUCAUUCUAUAGAGGUAUAUUCAAUAACCUCGAGUACUUGACGAAAAUAAUUUUGAUGAUAUAAUUAUUAUUUUUUGCUUAAUAUAUACAUUAGUACGUAAUGUUCAAAUAUAUGAAGUCAACAUUAUGUAGUAUAAAUUCAUUUAUUUUUGUUAAAAAUUUCUCUUGUGAUGUAGAUAUAUGCUUCUGAAUAUUUUUUUCGAAAAUUAUUAAACUUCUCAAGAGUUAAAGAAUUGUCACGGUUUGUUUUUUUUAUGCUCAAAACAAAUAAUGACUUUAUAUAUCAAUGCUACUUAUGUGAUUUUGAUUGUCAUGAAGUUUGCUUCAAAAUAAUUAUUACUAUAUAAAGUUUGCCCUUUUGUUUUACUAAUUUACUAUAUCUUAAUAUUUCAGUAUUUUGGACCAAAAAAAUUCAUAUGACUUGUAAUAUCGUCAGUUGAACUUUCUAUUAGUUUAUUUUUUAUUAUUUAUUUAAUAGCUAAUUUAUACGAGAUAAAUAUUUUCAUUAAUGCAAAUAUAUAUAUAUNNNNNNNNNNNNNNNNNNNNNNNNNNNNNNNNNNNNNNNNNNNNNNNNNNNNNNNNNNNNNNNNNNNNNNNNNNNNNNNNNNNNNNNNNNUAAAAAACUAACAAAAAAUGUGAAAAUAUGUGAAUAUAUAUGAAUCAUUUAAAAUUAAUCAUUUACAAAAAAAAAUUAUAUUCAGUAAUGUGGAAUAAACAUUUUCAUUUUGUCCCUACAUAAAAUUAAAAUCUAAUAACUAAUAACUAUAAAAAAAUAUAGUAACAUUAAUUAAAAGUCCUAUUUAUUUAUGGACGUAUAAAAUUUAUUAGAAAUUCAGCUAUUGCACAUUAAUACUUUGGUUAUAACAUUAUCAAUUCACUUCAUUAUGACUUAUUAUUGCAAACAUUAUUCACACCUCCUUUAGUUAUAAUAUUAUUAUGAAUUCUCAUACUUAUUACAUUAAUUAUUUAUAUCUUUCAUCUUUCAUUAUAUUAACUUUUGACCAAUAAUUUUUCAUACUAUUAUACCGCCUCUAUAUAUGUAAUAACACGAUGUUGUUAUUUUUUCUUGGACAAAUCAUGCUUGGUUGAAUAAAUUGAAAAUCGUUUACAAGUAUAUGAACUAUAUCUUUGUUGGGUGUCAGAUAAACAUGCUAUUAUAUAUAUGAUUUCACAUAUAGAAUAUAUUCUUUAAUUUUAAUUUUUAGUUUUUUCAUAAAAGAAGAAGAAGAAGGAAACUUUUAUCAGUUAACUAUGGAUAGUCAGAUAACUAUAUUUGAUUUAUGUACACAAUCUAUCGAUAAGUCAAAUAUGAGAGUCAACAACAAGAACGUCAUCUAUUAUGUUAUAACUUACAAAAUAAAAUUAAUAUACAAAAGAUAGUUCUAAAAAAAUAAAAUGAAGUUGUUCUCUUCACAUGUUCAUAUGACAUCUAAACAGUUUAAUGUGGAAUACACGUGCAAAGCACAUCUGGUUAAAUGAUUAAAAAAAUACACAAUAAAUAUCAUCUAUAAGGUAAUAUUAGUGAGAUACGAUUAAUUACAUGAUUUAACCUCAUCAAAUUGAAAUAAAUAUAUACAUUAUUACAUUUAACUAAUAAAAAUUUUCACUGACCAUCUUCAUAGGUUCGCGUGAAUAAGAGAUAUAUAUGACGAUCCACAUCGAACAUUCACUAAAGAAUCUGCAAUAUUAUUUUGUGCAAAGCUAAUUAUUCAAAUCUUCGCUUAAAUAAUCAAAUACUAUUUACUAUGACAUAUAUUUUAUGAAUUGGUAAUCACGCGCAACACACGUGUCGAAAAACUAAUUUAUUCAAAAUGGUCCAAUUCACAAUUAAUUGGUUAUGCAGAUGCAGGAUAUUUGUCUGACCCAUAUAGAGGUCGAUCUUAAACUCGAUGGAAAAUGAAAUAAAUCCUGGUAGUAGUUCCAAGUUCAACAGAAAAUGGGUUAGUUGGUGGUCCUGAGGGGGUGCUGUAUCCUCCUAUACUAGUUAGGAGUACAAGCAAGUCAUCAGUUCGUUUAAUGGGUGAAUUUGGUGCUGUGACCAUUGAGCGAUUUCAGCAAGAGUGGUCAGACAGACUACUAUAGUGAGUCUAGAAUAGUCAAAUUUCUCUAUAAUAGCGUCAUUCGUCUGGAUAUAUUUUGACUAUUAUUGUAGUGAGAUGCUGUUAUACAAAACAUAUAAAUAACAUAAUAUGGAAGUUGGUUUCAAAGGAAAUUUGACGGUUAUAAUGAAAUGUUGUUAUAGAGAUGAGUGAUGAACCUGUAGAAGUAUUUUGAUAAAUUUUGACUAUUCUAUUCUGCCUCGUUUUCAUCUCUUUUUCGUUUCUUCACCCUCGCUUGCAUCAUUUUCAAAGCAUAUACAACGUCCUUCAUGGUUGGCCUCUUGUCUGGAUGAUCGGGAUUCAAGCAGAGGAAUGCCAGAAGUGUGAUCUCAAAUGCAUUUGAAUAAUCAACUUCUUUGAAGCACUCAUGAACCAAAUAUUUUUUACCAAGUUUAGCCUCAUCUAUAGCGCACAGAUCCAGCUGAUAAGGACCAGCACAGAUAAACGCAUUCUUGGCUAUCAGCUUUAGCAGUAGAAUGCCAAAUAUAUAAACAUCAGUUUUCAUCGUCCGUUUACCUGUAUCUCCAUCCAGAAAAUAUAAGAACAUAACCGCAUUUAGUACAGAAAUUACAACAAUAACAGCAUAACCAGUGUAAUCCCACGAGUAGGGAAUGGGAAGGAUAGACUGUACAAAGACUUUACCCCUACUCCGAAGAGGCAGAGAGACCAUUUCUGAUAACCCUUGGCUCAAGUAAAACACUUCAAAAGGACAAUAUACUAGUAAAGUAGACAGCAGAUAAACUAUGUAAAAGUUACUAUGCCAUAUAGAACAGCAAACAUGAUGAAUAUUCUCCACAAGGGGAAAGCUCAAGGAGAAGUUAGAGAAAAGGUUGGCAUCACGGCAGAUGCAAAAUUUGUCAAUGGGUGGGAGAUCGAUACUAAUUAACAGUGCGUUAGACAGCAUUCCAACUUUCUACAUGAGACUAUUUCCCAGAUCCAGUAAGAUAUAUACUGAAGCAGAUUGAUAAGGAUCAGGAGGAAUUGCCUAUGGGAGGGUAACAACAAGUUUCACAGGCCAAAACAAUCGGGAGGAUUGGGCAUAAAAGAUUUGGUUCUUCACAACUAAUGCUUACUCAUGAAAUGGUUAUGGAGGUACCCUCAGAUGGGACAAACUCUAUGGAAGGAAGUAAUCAAGGCAAAACAUGGAGUCCAAAAUCAUUGGUGCUCCAAGCUGUUCCGAUCCCCUCAUGGCGUGGUGUAGGCCUAUGGAAGAGUUCUGAUGGAGGAAUCCCAAGUCUAUUUCAAAUAGCACGUGAACCAAAUUCUUCCAUUUCUAAGAACAAGGAAGACAGCACCUGGAAUUACUAUUCAGACUGGGAAAUUUAAUAAGUGAUCAACCAGUUCUCAAGGCUAGAAGGCCAAGUGAUAAAUGUCCAGGAAGCAGACAAGUUAAAGUGGGGCAGUGACACGGAUGGUAAUUACGCAGUGAAAGCAGGCUAUGCAAACUCAUAUGCUCCUAAUGAAGUGCUUUGUAACCGGUCACGGAGUUGAUAUGGAACAAAGAUCAUAUGCUUCAGCUGGAUAGCCCUUCAUGAAGCCUGCCUCACUCAAAACAAGCUUAAGAAAAGAAAAUUUCAAACUGCCAAUAGAUGUUACAUGUGCCAACAGAACCUUGAGUCUAACAACCAUCUAUUUUACAUUGUACAGUCGCUGCUGACUUAUGGAGUCUGUUUAUGUCUAUAUUUGGUAUUAAUUGGGUAAUGCCACAUAGCAUCAAAGAGGCCUUCGAAUGCUGGUGCAUAAAAAUUCUAUGUACCAAGCUUGCUACAUAUAUAACUUGUUCUGGGACCGGCUAGGGACUUUUCAAGCCUAGUCAUUUGACUAUUUAGGUUUAUCUUAAUCAUAAAGGUCUUCUAUCAUAGUUUCAUAACUAAGCAUGGCCUCUAUCUGGCAUAUAUUCCAAUUAGAGAACAACAAAAAGAAGAACAUAAAGAAAUGGAAAAAAGUGAUGAAACCUAGACCUCAAAAACAAACAGUGUUGCAUCAUGCGAUACAGAGAAAACUACACGAAAAAACUUAAAUCAAUAGCAUGAAAUUAUCAGAGGUCAGAGAAAACAUGCCAUUCUGAAUAUCUGGACCUUCCCAGCCAACACGAACUUCUACAGGAAUUUCAGUAUCUUCAUUCACAUUAUUUGAUACAAACCCAAAGUCAAAUACUUUUAUGUUUACUUCCUGCAAUCCAAAACCAAUGUAAUAAUAACGCGUAAAAAUCUUGAGAUAUCUAAAGGAUAUAAAAAGUCAAGACGACGACCAAGUGUUCAUCAACCUCACCUCAUCUAUCAUAAUGCAUGAAUCACUAACAUAGCCAAAUGCAAUCCCCUUCUCAUGCAACCAUGAGAAGAGAUCAGCAAGUUGCGUUGUCACUUUCAUCCGAUCAUCCCACCCAAAGUCGUCUGCAGACGAGAAAAAGAAAAUAUAAAGAAUGCGCUAAAAAGCACAAAAAAGUCGGACAAAACAGUCGUUCAACAUAAUACUCAAAGAAGUAAGUACCAGCCAGAAGCACAUUCGACAACACUCCGGUGAAUUUUGCAUCGUAGACAACUGCAAGCCUCGUAUCAAAACAGUACCUAUACAACUCCACCAAAUUUGGAUGCUUAUUUGCUCUUUCAUCCGUUAAUAACUCGAUCUCAUCCUACAAAAGAACCUCUGACAUCAUUUAACCAACAAAAAAAUUAGACAAGAAAUCAAAUUUAGACCUAUCUCGCAAACAUACACAAAAUUUAUAUAGACGUGGAGCACACUCAGGUUUCAUAGGAAAGAGAUAAUCCCAUGUCUUUACAAUAGCCGGUCGUGCUACAGUUCCUUCAACAAUGGUGCCAUGGAACAGUCUUCCUGUAAGAGUCUUUUGAAUUUCUCCACGAUUCUUGUAAUUAGUCAUCUUGUCCAACUCGAAGUAGCUGCAAUGCUUCACCUCACCAACCAUCAUUGGCUCGAUGGAGAAGUCGAAGCUGCAUUUUGGCAACCAAAGAAGACGGAUGACUCAGAGAAAUCCCACAAGUGUGGUCUGGGGAGGAUAGAGAGAUUGUUUCCAAAUGAAGCUCGGCUCAAGUGCAACAAAUCCAAUCCAAGUAAAAAGACAAGGAAAAUAUAGCAAUCAAUAAAGUGAAGAACCUACAAGAAAGUAGUGCAAAUUUAUCUCCUUAUCAUACAACAAGACAACACUCCCUUACCUGCUUAACCACCUUUUGCAUGCCCUAAUACGAGACCUCCCUAUCUAAAGUCAUGUCAUGUAUGUCGUAUCCCCAAUACUAGACAAAAGAGCAACAACAGAACAGAACAGAACCCUAUAUUCCAUACCAAUACUUGAAACUCAAUCAAAUAACUAUUCAAACCUUUCGUAACGCUUGCAUUCUUUAAGAAAAUAAUUCAUAUAAAGGUCAGGGUUGGGACGCUUGUUGAGAGGGUGAGGAAAACUCGGCAGAACUAAAGAUCCCUCGUCCAAGUUGUACAUUUGGAACGCAUAAGGCGAAAACCCCCAUUCUGUAAACUUCUUUCGGAUCGCCUCAAUUGACACACUCUUCUUCUCCUUUUCAUCUCUCAUCUCACCGUCCGUCGCCAUAUCCAUCGUUUUCUAUAGCACACACGGUUCAAAUUCGAGAUCUCAUUAUGCUUAUGUAUUAUUAUGCCUAUGAAUGGGAGUAGGGAAAGGAAAAAUGAGAGGUAGAAAAUCGAACCAUCACAAACAAGGUGAAAAAGUUUAAUUUUGGCUUAAUCAUUAUUGAAUGUGUAUGGUUGUUACGUAUCGUUUCAUAAUAUAUCGUAUUAUUUUAAUGAAUACAACAUCUUUUUUUAAGGCUCAUGACCUCUUUCCAUGACUUUAUUUUAUGAUCGUAAGGAUCCAUUCAUAUUUCACAUAUAGAGAUGGAUUACAUCAUUUCCGUUCAUUACAUAAUGGCCACACAUCAACAACAUGAAGAAUGAGUUUACAGAGGUUGCUAGAUCAACAACAUAGACCACAUUCAUUUAGAACCUACAUGACUACUCUAAAUCUUGAAUUCGCCUCUGAUUGUGACGAACUAUAUAUGAAGAAUUGCUAGAUCAACAAUGAGCAGCCUAUGAUUUAGUGAAAACAAAACUAGAUAUAAUUGUGUCAAUAUUUUGCAACUCCAGCACUCUGAGCCUUCCCUAAAAUCGACUCGAUGCUGCCAUGGAAAAGACCUAAGCUUUUCGCUAAAGCAAAGCCGCUAUACAUGCCAUCAACAGCUGCACUUACUAUCCCGCCAGCAUAGCCUGCUCCUUCUCCGAUAGGGUAAAGCCCUCUUAAAGACGUGCACUCGUAAGUGUCAGCACUUCGCGAGAUCUGGACAGGGGAACUAGUUCUUGUCUGUAAUGAGGAAGAAAUGAAAAGUUACCACUUCGGUUCAAGAAGCAAGAAAUGUGCAAGUUAUUAACUCCAAUGCUUUGUUUUAAUGAAUACAACAUCUUUUUUUAAGGCUCAUGACCUCUUUCCAUGACUUUAUUUUAUGAUCGUAAGGAUCCAUUCAUAUUUCACAUAUAGAGAUGGAUUACAUCAUUUCCGUUCAUUACAUAAUGGCCACACAUCAACAACAUGAAGAAUGAGUUUACAGAGGUUGCUAGAUCAACAACAUAGACCACAUUCAUUUAGAACCUACAUGACUACUCUAAAUCUUGAAUUCGCCUCUGAUUGUGACGAACUAUAUAUGAAGAAUUGCUAGAUCAACAAUGAGCAGCCUAUGAUUUAGUGAAAACAAAACUAGAUAUAAUUGUGUCAAUAUUUUGCAACUCCAGCACUCUGAGCCUUCCCUAAAAUCGACUCGAUGCUGCCAUGGAAAAGACCUAAGCUUUUCGCUAAAGCAAAGCCGCUAUACAUGCCAUCAACAGCUGCACUUACUAUCCCGCCAGCAUAGCCUGCUCCUUCUCCGAUAGGGUAAAGCCCUCUUAAAGACGUGCACUCGUAAGUGUCAGCACUUCGCGAGAUCUGGACAGGGGAACUAGUUCUUGUCUGUAAUGAGGAAGAAAUGAAAAGUUACCACUUCGGUUCAAGAAGCAAGAAAUGUGCAAGUUAUUAACUCCAAUGCUUUGUUUUAAUGAAUACAACAUCUUUUUUUAAGGCUCAUGACCUCUUUCCAUGACUUUAUUUUAUGAUCGUAAGGAUCCAUUCAUAUUUCACAUAUAGAGAUGGAUUACAUCAUUUCCGUUCAUUACAUAAUGGCCACACAUCAACAACAUGAAGAAUGAGUUUACAGAGGUUGCUAGAUCAACAACAUAGACCACAUUCAUUUAGAACCUACAUGACUACUCUAAAUCUUGAAUUCGCCUCUGAUUGUGACGAACUAUAUAUGAAGAAUUGCUAGAUCAACAAUGAGCAGCCUAUGAUUUAGUGAAAACAAAACUAGAUAUAAUUGUGUCAAUAUUUUGCAACUCCAGCACUCUGAGCCUUCCCUAAAAUCGACUCGAUGCUGCCAUGGAAAAGACCUAAGCUUUUCGCUAAAGCAAAGCCGCUAUACAUGCCAUCAACAGCUGCACUUACUAUCCCGCCAGCAUAGCCUGCUCCUUCUCCGAUAGGGUAAAGCCCUCUUAAAGACGUGCACUCGUAAGUGUCAGCACUUCGCGAGAUCUGGACAGGGGAACUAGUUCUUGUCUGUAAUGAGGAAGAAAUGAAAAGUUACCACUUCGGUUCAAGAAGCAAGAAAUGUGCAAGUUAUUAACUCCAAUGCUUUGUUUUAAUGAAUACAACAUCUUUUUUUAAGGCUCAUGACCUCUUUCCAUGACUUUAUUUUAUGAUCGUAAGGAUCCAUUCAUAUUUCACAUAUAGAGAUGGAUUACAUCAUUUCCGUUCAUUACAUAAUGGCCACACAUCAACAACAUGAAGAAUGAGUUUACAGAGGUUGCUAGAUCAACAACAUAGACCACAUUCAUUUAGAACCUACAUGACUACUCUAAAUCUUGAAUUCGCCUCUGAUUGUGACGAACUAUAUAUGAAGAAUUGCUAGAUCAACAAUGAGCAGCCUAUGAUUUAGUGAAAACAAAACUAGAUAUAAUUGUGUCAAUAUUUUGCAACUCCAGCACUCUGAGCCUUCCCUAAAAUCGACUCGAUGCUGCCAUGGAAAAGACCUAAGCUUUUCGCUAAAGCAAAGCCGCUAUACAUGCCAUCAACAGCUGCACUUACUAUCCCGCCAGCAUAGCCUGCUCCUUCUCCGAUAGGGUAAAGCCCUCUUAAAGACGUGCACUCGUAAGUGUCAGCACUUCGCGAGAUCUGGACAGGGGAACUAGUUCUUGUCUGUAAUGAGGAAGAAAUGAAAAGUUACC
rnacentral:lncRNA from 1 species